rnacentral:rRNA from 1 species
AGAGUUUGAUCAUGGCUCAGGACGAACGCUGGCGGCGUGCCUAAUACAUGCAAGUUGAACGAUGAUUUCUGGUACUUGUAUCAGAAUGAAGAGUAGCGAACGGGUGAGUAACGCGUGGGUAACCUACCUCUUAGCGGGGGACAACUAUUGGAAACGAUAGCUAAUACCGCAUAACAAUAUUAAACACAUGUUUAAUAUUUGAAAGUACCAAUUGGUACACUAGGAGAUGGACCCGCGUUGUAUUAGCUAGUUGGUAGUGUAAUGGACUACCAAGGCGAUGAUACAUAGCCGACCUGAGAGGGUGAUCGGCCACAUUGGGACUGAGACACGGCCCAAACUCCUACGGGAGGCAGCAGUAGGGAAUCUUCGGCAAUGGACGAAAGUCUGACCGAGCAACGCCGCGUGAGCGAAGAAGGUUUUCGGAUCGUAAAACUCUGUUGUUAGAGAAGAACGUUGUGUAGAGUGGAAAAUUACACAAGUGACGGUAUCUAACCAGAAAGGGACGGCUAACUACGUGCCAGCAGCCGCGGUAAUACGUAGGUCCCGAGCGUUGUCCGGAUUUAUUGGGCGUAAAGCGAGCGCAGGUGGUUUAAUAAGUCUGAUGUAAAAGGCAGUGGCUCAACCAUUGUGUGCAUUGGAAACUGUUAGACUUGAGUGCAGUAGAGGAGAGUGGAAUUCCAUGUGUAGCGGUGAAAUGCGUAGAUAUAUGGAGGAACACCGGUGGCGAAAGCGGCUCUCCGGACUGUAACUGACACUGAGGCUCGAAAGCGUGGGUAGCAAACAGGAUUAGAUACCCUGGUAGUCCACGCCGUAAACGAUGAGUGCUAGUUGUUUGGGGCUAUCCAGCCCUAAGUGACGCAGCAAACGCAUUAAGCACUCCGCCUGGGGAGUA